AUAUUCUAUUUUUGCUGUUUUUCUACUGUCUCCACAAACUCCAACAGGUAUCUGUACCCCCGUUUGAGUCACUGUGAUUUAAAGCACUGGGAUAGACUGGUGACUUGUCCAGGUCCAGGAUGAAAUAAAAUAAAAACUUAAAUGAAAAUUACUUUAUUUAUCCCAAAAGGAACUUACAAUGUUGUAGUAGAGUUUGUUUUCUAUUUUAUUUUUUACUACAAACAUUAAUAAUAAAUUGGAAGGUGACAUUGUCUCGUUCUGGAGAGCGAUGGCUGCUGGCAGGAAUGAUCUCCGGUACUUUUCAUUGGACCAGACGAAGCUCACACUGAACACACCCUGUUGUUUCACUGUGUUGUCUAGAGCAGUGAUUCUCAAACUUCUAGAACAACGACCCAAAAGAUAACAUACGUUGGUCUUCCCCACCCCCACGCAACAACUUAGUGACUAAUCGUGGGAUGUAUCAAAUGAGUCACCUUGCAGCCAUUCUCUAAACGUAAAGCUGGAAAACUGUCAGAAUCUUCAUAAACAAGAAGGGAAAAAGUGGUUUUUGGUGUGACAAGGCACCUACCUGCCCAAAUUAAGCUUCUCUCAUGGUAAUAAUGUCAAAUAAUAUGGCGUGUACUAACUUUGUUCAUUUCAAAGAUGUAUCUCUUCAUUAAUGGGUUCAUUUUGACAGCCCUGAUAAAAAAAAAACUCCCAAAUUUACUUGAUAAAUAUAGGCUAUAUAGUUUUUCUACAUUUAUCUGGCAGCCCCCAUGGGGGUCCUGGCCCCCAGUUUGAGAACCACUGGUGUAGAGGAUGCAGCUCCAGCCCUGCUCUGCACAAUGACCUGCCAGUUUAAGCUGGGUGUGUUGACGUUGAGUUCUGUUGUGCACAUCUAAGAUAUCUAAGAAAAUAUUCUUGCAUGAGACUUUUCUAUUCCUCUGAGCAGAAAUCAAACAUGAUUGUAACUGUUUUUGAGGCCUAACCCUUCGCACAUCUGCACACAACUUUAUUUACACACCAAACCGUUCUUGAACACCACAAGCUGUACUCCAGUUGAGCCGGAUGACAAAAGAAAAGUCAGUAUUCAGUUCCUCAAACAGAUGUGCAGGGUUCCUCUGAACGUAACCUGGAAGGCAGCAGAUAGUUGUGCUCAGGUCCAAACAAACUCCCCCACUCCACCCCACCAACACUCCCGUCCAUCAGAUUAGAACAAGUUUCCUGUUUUAAUUUGAGGAAGUGGCCGGGUAAACGUUUGAGGGUAGUUCCUCUUUCAGUUCACAUUUAAACAUUCUUCCGUACUGAGUUCUGCUCACUGGUGAAGAAAAAGGAGGCCUGGCAGCUUCUCAGUCUCGCAGCGAUGUUGCGGAACAGAUAGGCCAUGGACUCUCCGUUGUGGAUGCGCCGGAUCGCCUCGGCCAGGAUCAUACUGACGUCCACAGUUUUGAUUUUCGGACACUGAAGCUUCUGAACCUCAUGAGGAACGGUGUUUGUAACCACCACCUACAGGCACAGGACAACAAAAGCAGCAAAAAUCAGUUUCUAUCUUCUUUCUCCAUGUCUGUGAACACAUCUAAACAUGACAACAUGGCUAAAUAUGGUUAAAGAAAACGUGCACGGUGUUUACUCAAUUUUCUACACCUUUUAAAAGAUGUCAGAUAAUCAUGCUCUCAGUAAUACGACUUCCUCUCAUUACAGACAGUAUUGAUACUAAUAAUAAAAAUAAUGAAAUAACGAUAUAUAAUCAAGAUAAGGUGUCACAUUUUUUAUUUAAGCCAUGCAGUAAAAGGUCAUGUUUCUUUUUUUUUAACUUUAAACUUUACCACCAAACUUCAACUUUAGUAACAGAAGACUGAAGACAAACGUUUGCCAAUAAAACGUGAAUAUUUUACCUCAUCGAUAGCAGACUCCUCUAUAAGUCUUGGUGCCUCUGCAGACAGCAAGCCGUGUGUGGCCAUGAUGUAGAUCUUGUAGGCACCCCUCUCCUUCAGGAUUUCUGCUGCAGCGACAAAGUCCUCCACAUCAUCUAUGAUGUCAUCCUGAUCAACAGACCACAAGGUUGGGGAGCAAGAAGGGAAACCAGUAAUAGACAUUAAUGGUUAUUUAUUUAUUUUUGUUCAUGGCUUGUAAAAAAAAAAAAAAAAAAAAAAAGACUAUAAAUUACAAAAAAAUUUUUUAAUUAAAUUAAGUCACAAGAAUAUGUGAAUGUAAUUAUGUAAUUACUAAAAUAAAAUAGUUUUCCUUAAAUAUGUCUGACUUGAUUGUGGCAAGACAAACAUACAUCUUUAGAAGUUAAGCGUCAUCAGUAAUACGUGGCUU